rnacentral:rRNA from 1 species
AGUGAACGCUGGCGGUAGGCCUAACACAUGCAAGUCGAACGGCAGCACAGUAAGAGCUUGCUCUUACGGGUGGCGAGUGGCGGACGGGUGAGGAAUACAUCGGAAUCUACUUUUUCGUGGGGGAUAACGUAGGGAAACUUACGCUAAUACCGCAUACGACCUACGGGUGAAAGCAGGGGAUCUUCGGACCUUGCGCGAUUGAAUGAGCCGAUGUCGGAUUAGCUAGUUGGCGGGGUAAAGGCCCACCGAGGCGACGAUCCGUAGCUGGUCUGAGAGGAUGAUCAGCCACACUGGAACUGAGACACGGUCCAGACUCCUACGGGAGGCAGCAGUGGGGAAUAUUGGACAAAGGGCGCAAGCCUGAUCCAGCCAUACCGCGUGGGUGAAGAAGGCCUUCGGGUUGUAAAGCCCUUUUGUUGGGAAAGAAAAGCAGCAGGUUAAUACCCCGCUGUUCUGACGGUACCCAAAGUAUAAGCACCGGCUAACUUCGUG